rnacentral:tRNA from 1 species
GCGGUUGAAUUUCGACCUUCAGUCUGUGGAACAGGAGGUCGGUGGUUCGAGCCCACCCAACUGUACCA